rnacentral:lncRNA from 1 species
UCUUUCUUAGAUGCAGAAACAACAACAUGUCGCUUUUUCUUCAUAACUGGCGCUGGUGUCACAAUAAACUGCAACUUUUGUGAAACACCAGUAUGCAGAAUAGUCGAAGAAGUCAUAUUCGAGGAGUUGAUAUACAUAGUAAAAGCUGAUUUUUUCCCUUGACCAAUUAGUUUACGUUCAGAGGUUUCGCUUAUGCUUGUUCUUGCACUGCUACUUCUACUGUUUGUGCUAUUACUGCGGGAAGACAAGAGUGAAUCUUUGCUACUAACACUGCUUGUUCUGCUCGUCGAACGUGAAAAUG